GAUGAACGCUGGCGGCGUGCCUAAUACAUGCAAGUCGAGCGAACAGACGAGGAGCUUGCUCCUCUGACGUUAGCGGCGGACGGGUGAGUAACACGUGGAUAACCUACCUAUAAGACUGGGAUAACUUCGGGAAACCGGAGCUAAUACCGGAUAAUAUAUUGAACCGCAUGGUUCAAUAGUGAAAGACGGUUUUGCUGUCACUUAUAGAUGGAUCCGCGCCGCAUUAGCUAGUUGGUAAGGUAACGGCUUACCAAGGCGACGAUGCGUAGCCGACCUGAGAGGGUGAUCGGCCACACUGGAACUGAGACACGGUCCAGACUCCUACGGGAGGCAGCAGUAGGGAAUCUUCCGCAAUGGGCGAAAGCCUGACGGAGCAACGCCGCGUGAGUGAUGAAGGUCUUCGGAUCGUAAAACUCUGUUAUUAGGGAAGAACAAAUGUGGAAGUAACUAUGCACGUCUUGACGGUACCUAAUCAGAAAGCCACGGCUAACUACGUG
rnacentral:rRNA from 1 species